CGUACUGGCAUUGUUGGUUUCUCCCUUCUGACGAACCAUGAUGUCAUUUAUUUGGUGUUGUGGGGAAUCAGGACUGUUACUUUGAAAAAAUUAGAGUGUUUAAAGCAGGCUCACGCUUGAAUACAUUAGCAUGGAAUAAUGAAAUAGGACGUUUGAUUCUAUUUUGUUGGUUUCUAGGAUCGACGUAAUGAUUAAUAGGGAUAGUUGGGGGCAUUAGUAUUCAAUUGUCAGAGGUGAAAUUCUUGGAUUUAUUGAAGACUAACUACUGCGAAAGCAUUUGCCAAGGAUGUUUUCAUUAAUCAAGAACGAAAGUUAGGGGAUCGAAGACGAUCAGAUACCGUCGUAGUCUUAACCAUAAACUAUGCCGACUAGGGAUCGGAUGAUGUUAAUUUUUUAAG
rnacentral:rRNA from 1 species